AAUGCAAGUGUUUAACAGAUGCUUCACUAUUAAAAUAUUUUCCCCCCAAGUCUCAAAUAUUGAAGAAUCUCUAACCAGGCUCGAAACGCCGGUCUCAGUGACUAUUGAGUUACCCACCAAGUUACCCCGGUUAGAGCUGUUUGGGGUGGCUCACGUUAUUGCGGCAAACUUUGGAGAUGACGGCUGAGUCCUCUGGGCGAACAUGUCAAGCCGAUUGUAAAUGCUGUUAUUUCCACAUCCUUCAGGGACACCAGUCCCAACGAAGACCUUGGGCGAUUUCAAAGUGCGGGCACCUCGAUUCCCCGAAUCUGUAGUGUGGCUGGUAUCGGUGUUUCCCUGGUUUAACUAGCCUGCUUGAAGGCGCAGAUCAUUCAUGGGGAAGUAAAACCGAAACCAGUCCUCUCCACCCCCUGCGGGUCUUCACUUUCCCAGUCUACAUCUGCCUGUGACUCCAGAAAGACAAACUGCAGAUUGGCCAAGGUCCAGCCUAAAUGUUACCUCCUCCAGGGAGCCUUUCCAGAUACUGCUUCUCCUCUCUCCCCCAACUCCCUCCCACAAAUGAAGUAUUCUCUUCUGAAUUCCU
rnacentral:antisense_RNA from 1 species